rnacentral:rRNA from 1 species
GGCGCACGGGUGAGUAACACGUAUCCAACCUGCCGAUAACUCGGGGAUAGCCUUUCGAAAGAAAGAUUAAUACCCGAUAGUAUAGUAUUUCCGCAUGGUUUCACUAUUAAAGAAUUUCGGUUAUCGAUGGGGAUGCGUUCCAUUAGAUAGUUGGCGGGGUAACGGCCCACCAAGUCAACGAUGGAUAGGGGUUCUGAGAGGAAGGUCCCCCACAUUGGAACUGAGACACGGUCCAAACUCCUACGGGAGGCAGCAGUGAGGAAUAUUGGUCAAUGGACGAGAGUCUGAACCAGCCAAGUAGCGUGAAGGAUGACUGCCCUAUGGGUUGUAAACUUCUUUUAUACGGGAAUAAAGUGGAGUAUGCAUACUCCUUUGUAUGUACCGUAUGAAUAAGGAUCGGCUAACUCCGUGCCAGCAGCCGCGGUAAUACGGAGGAUCCGAGCGUUAUCCGGAUUUAUUGGGUUUAAAGGGAGCGUAGGCGGGUGCUUAAGUCAGUUGUGAAAGUUUGCGGCUCAACCGUAAAAUUGCAGUUGAUACUGGGCGCCUUGAGUGCAGCAUAGGUAGGCGGAAUUCGUGGUGUAGCGGUGAAAUGCUUAGAU